AAAAGCAGACUCCAAAAAGCAGAGAUCUCCUUGAAUAAACACAUUUGCAGAGCAAAAUGUCCAGGAGCAGUUAUGUCCAGGAAUGCUAGAAGUGUAGCAAUGAAGAAGCAGAACAUCCAAGAAAGUGAUUCACUCGAAGGACACCAUGACUUGAAUAUGUUCUUCUUAGAACAGAAAAGACUUAAUCCCAUGUGUGUGUGGACAUCCUCCCUCACCAGUCCUGCUGGCAGCUGAGUGUCUAUCUCAGCCUUGGACUGAUCCUGGUUUCUUCAUAUUCACAUUGCUUUCCUGUGGAAAGAAUAAUUAUCUAUUUCUGAGAAACUGUGUUUUUUUUUUUCCUCGUUAAGUGCUAAACUUCUGCGAGGCAGACUCUCUCACUGUACUCUUGUAUGGCAUUCACUGCUGUGCACUCUCUGAAUUCUGCAUUGAAUUCAAUUUUGAAAAUUGCAAUUGCAGACUUCAGACAAAAACUUCCAGACUUUCAUUUCCAGAAAAGCAAUGCUGUGGAAAAGAGGAAAACGUACCAAUGGGGAAAAAUACCUCCCUGGAUUAAUGAAAUAAAGAUGGAACUCAAUGGUAGCCAUGUUACUACUUUCCUGAAAAAAAAAUUGUAGGGAGGAUUCCUUGAAAUGAAUAGAACAUUUAAAAAAAGAAAAAAAGUGUAAGUGCAGCUUCACUGAAAUCAUCGUUCUAAUCACUAACAUUUGCACAGUGGAAUUUUUCCAUUGUUGUUGGAGGGACCUGACUGUCAAGCCUUUCUUUCAUCCCCCAGCUCCUCCAGUGCACUUCUUGCUGCAGUUUGUAUUGCCAGCGAGGAAGAAGAUAUUUUGAAUCAAUGGGAGCAGAAAAGAUGUUCAGUUGAAAUGAUGAAGUGAGAUAGUACUUUAAUAUUGUUUAUCUUGUGGCUUAAAUGAAGAUUUAGUGUUGAUAGAGUGUUCAUCAUCAAUAUUUCUUGAAGAGGAAUUGCUUGGGUAGCAAAUUGAGGCUGACUUCUGCCUUGGCUUCGUGCAAUGCUCCCGUUAAACCUGGAAGGAAGUAAUCAGAUCCCUGAAGGUCAGCUGAUGACGUUUUUGCUGUGUUGCUGCCCAGGUGGCUUGGGCUUACAAUGGUCUGUUACUGUGUGAGGAGAAUCCCUAGUGGAAGAGGAGGACAUGAGCAGAUUAAUAUUUCCUAAUAUAGUUUAUAAUGAGAAAUUUUAAAUGUACUUCAAUUUCAUUGGGAGGAGGGAAGAUUAAUGCAUCCCUCUAAUAUGUUCAUAAACAAUUAUCUGCAUAGUUCUCUGUUACAAGCCAUCAAAUGACACAAAUCAAAUUUGGGUUUAUUUUAACAUGUUAGAAAGAAACUUGAUAAUUAAAAUUGUACCGCU
rnacentral:lncRNA from 7 species